CGUCAGGAGCGCCAUGUCUUGCGCCGCUGACUAUGACGCUCAGUUCGCGUCGCGUUUCUCCGCAGAGGACGCGGAGUUCCAGCGGUACCGGGAGCGCGCACCGGACGCGCCGCCUGUGGUCGAGGACUGGAGAGCGCGCAGAGACCGAAGAGCUCCGGAGCACCGACAGCACGAGCAUCGCUUCCCUGAGCGCCGCCAUGAGCGAUCACGAUUCUGAUACCGAACCAGACCUCCAGCGAUGUUUGCCGGAUCACUGCUGAUCUUACUGCAGUUACACUGGCUUCUGUGUAAAUAAAGCAGUUCAGAUCAG